rnacentral:rRNA from 1 species
CCUACGGGGGGCAGCAGUGGGGAAUAUUGGACAAUGGGCGCAAGCCUGAUCCAGCAAUGCCGCGUGUGUGAAGAAGGCCUGCGGGUUGUAAAGCACUUUAAGCAGGAAAGAAGGGGUGAAAGUUAAUACCUUUCAGCAUUGACGUUACCUGCAGAAUAAGCACCGGCUAACUCCGUGCCAGCAGCCGCGGUAAUACGGAGGGUGAGAGCGGGAAUCGGAAUUAGUGGGGGCGAAGCGCUCGGUCCGUCGUGACAGCCCUGGGCUUAACCUGGGAACUGCGGUGGAUACUGUCGGGCUAGAGUGUGGUAGAGGGGAGUGGAAUUUCCGGUGUAGCAGUGAAAUGCGUAGAGAUCGGAAGGAACACCAGUGGCGAAGGCGGCUCCCUGGACUAACACUGACGCUGAGGUGCGAAAGCGUGGGGAGCAAACAGGAUUAGAUACCCUUGUAGUC